UUUACGCCGUCCACACGCUCUUUUCGACUCUCCUAGCUCUUUCUCCCCCCCUCCCGACCACCCCGUACCCCCGCGCGCACCCCAACAUGUCUCUAAAGGACGUGAGCAAGAAGGCCGCCGAGCUGGAGUCGAAGCUGGGCGGCAAGCUGUUCCUGGGCGGCGCGAAGCCGACGGCGGAGGACGUGAAGGUGUUCAACGACCUGCUCGGCGCGAACCACGUGAACCUGUACCGAUGGGCGAAGAACAUGGCGACGUACACCGAGGGCGAGCGCAAGGCGUGGGGCGGGCCGGUGCGCGUUGCUGCGCCGGAGCUGCGCAUGCCCGCGCCGGCGGCGGCGAAGGCGGUGAGGUCGGAUGCUGCUGCUGAGAAGAGGGCUGCGCCGAAGGCUGCUGCUGUUGCGCCGCCGUCUGCCGCUGCCGCGGAGGAGGACGACGACGACAUCGACCUGUUCGGCGAGACGACGGAGGAGGAGAAGGCAGCGCUGGAGGCGAAGAAGGCGAAGGACGCGGAGAAGAAGAAGGCGAAGAAGGAUGUGAUUGCGAAGUCGUCGAUCCUGUUCGAUAUCAAGGCGUGGGACGACACGAUCGACCUGGAGGCGCUCGCGCAGAAGCUGCACGCGAUCCAGCGCGACGGCCUGAUCUGGGGUGACCACAAGCUGGUGCCCGUUGCGUUUGGCGUGAAGAAGCUGCAGCAGCUGAUCGUCAUUGAGGACGACAAGGUGUCCGGCGACGACCUGGAGGAGAUGAUCAUGGGCUUCGAGGAGGAGGUGCAGUCGAUGGAUAUCGUCGCCUGGAACAAGAUCUGAGGUGAUUCGAGGUGACACGUAUGCUUUUCGCCACGUACGCGGCAGACGUCCUUCUUUAGCUAAGCGUGUUACUGUGUCUUACGCUUACGGCCCUUCCCUCUCUCUCUCUCGAGCACGAGAAGGGGGCAGACAAGCGUGUGAAGGGGCGCGGGGGGGGAAGAACGCAUAUCGGGAUCUGCAUCACGCACUCACACGCACCGACCGACAAAGUUUCCAUUCUUCUGAUCUGUCUUGUUCCCAGUUGACCUAUCCGCGAUGCCAUGGAGUGCGGUGCGGGCUGAUCGAGGCAGGGCAGCGGGGCAGCAGCAGUGGCGGGUGGAGAGAAGGGAAGGGAAAACAAAGAACGCCCGCUCGGAGGUUGGAUGCGCGCAGUAUGGAGACGUGAAUGACAGCGUGUGGGGAGGCGGAGGUGGAGGUGUCGGAGAAGCGAACUUCAUGCGUGGAGGAGGCUGUCUUUGCAAAGAAGAGCACACAAAUAAAGUUAAAAAACAAACAGAAGGAGAGAUAAAAACACGCAUUUUGGCUUAGGUAGGGCGUACGCGUCUUUCGCUGUUCUGGGAUGUGUGUGCCGCUCUCUCUGUCUGUCUGUGGCUCCGCCUCUCCUCCUCCCCUUCUUUGCCUUUUGCCAAUUUUGAUAUCUGCCUUUUAAGCCGAUCACCGCUGUUGCGCACGCCUCUUUACCAACCCCUCGUCCCACACUGAGUAAGAAAGCAAACAGUGCAGAUCAGCUUGUGCUGCCCUCGCGUAUGUCAUUGAAACGUCCACCUCCGGUCGUGGAUUCACGCGUCGCAUGGCGUGAAAGCGCAUUGACGGCCUGCAUAUCGACAUGACGAGGGCGCUGCCCGUAUCUUGAUGUGUGCGUGUGUGUGUAGAUGCGUUUGGGGGGGGGGGCAGCAGCAGGUUUCCUGUGUGUGUUUCUUGUUUUGCAUGUGGGUGUCUCUCUUUGGUUUUGUUUUCCCCUGUUGUGUUGUUGUCUUAAAAUUGCCCCCCCCCCCCAGAAGAAAAGUGAGGCGACAUAUACGAACAUAAAUUGGACGGCCCCCGUCCCCCUUUGUCGCUUCUUCUGUGAGUGGGUGUGUGUACGCGUGCAACUCGUGCUUCACAUACACACACACAUUCACACGAGCGGCAGCUAAGCUCUCUUUCUAUCCGUAACAGAAACACCUCCCCGCAAGGAAAACAGUAAACCGAGGCAACCGUGAGGCCAAAGUUCCCGCCAUCCCCUCCCCCGAAAAAAAAAGUGCGAGGACGGAUCGGCACGGAUGCUCUGCACACACGCGAAGCUUCUCUUCCUCUGAAGCUCAAGAAGCGCAUGUGCUGCUUCCCUUUCGUCAAGGUGGCGGAGACGUCUGGGGUUUACUCUAUGCGACUUACUACGUUGCCUCCGCAGCUGAG
rnacentral:misc_RNA from 1 species